rnacentral:rRNA from 1 species
GAUGAACGCUAGCUACAGGCUUAACACAUGCAAGUCGCGGGGCAGCAUGGGGGUUGCUUGCAAUCCCCGAUGGCGACCGGCGCACGGGUGAGUAACGCGUAUCCAACCUGCCCUUCACCACGGGAUAACCCGGCGAAAGUCGGACUAAUACCGUAUGUUGUCCAUUGACGGCCUCCGAUUUGGACGAAAGGCUUGGCGGUGAGGGAUGGGGAUGCGUCCGAUUAGCCAGACGGCGGGGUAACGGCCCACCGUGGCUACGAGCGGGAGGGGUUCUGAGAGGAAGGUCCCCCACAAUGGAACUGAGGCACGGUCCAGACUCCUACGGGAGGCAGCAGUGAGGAAUAUUGGUCAAUGGGCGUAAGCCUGAACCAGCCAAGUAGCGUGCAGGAGGACGGCCCUAUGGGUUGUAAACUGCUUUUAUGCGGGGAUAAAGUGGCCCACGUGUGGGCUUUUGCAGGUACCGCAUGAAUAAGGACCGGCUAAUUCCGUG